AUUGAACGCUGGCGGCAGGCCUAACACAUGCAAGUCGAACGCGUGGCGGACGGGUGAGUAAUGUCUGGGAAACUGCCUGAUGGAGGGGGAUAAAUACUGGAAACGGUAGCUAAUACCGCAUACCAUCGGAUGUGCCCAGAUGGGAUUAGAUAGUAGGUGGGGUAACGGCUCACCUAGGCGAAGCUCCCUAGCUGGUCUGAGAGGAGGAACAGCCACACUGGAACUGAGACACGGUCCAGACUCCUACGGGAGGCAGCCGUGGGGAAUAUUGCACAAUGGGCGCAAGCCUGAUGCAGCCAUGCCGCGUGUAUGAAGAAGGCCUUCGGGUUGUAAAGCACUUUCAGCGGGGAGGCGUUACCCACAGAAGAAGCACCGGCUAACUCCGUGCCAGCCGCCGCGGUAAUAC
rnacentral:rRNA from 1 species